CAGAGGUCUCAACCGUUGUUCGGAUUCAUUGGGCGUAAAGGGUGCGUAGGCGGUCGCGCAAGUCGGAUGUGAAAUCUUAGGGCUCAACCCUGAAACUGCAUUCGAUACUGCGUGGCUCGAGUACUGGAGAGGAGACUGGAAUUUACGGUGUAGCAGUGAAAUGCGUAGAUAUCGUAAGGAAGACCAGUGGCGAAGGCGAGUCUCUGGACAGUUACUGACGCUGAGGCACGAAGGCCAGGGGAGCAAACGGG
rnacentral:rRNA from 1 species